rnacentral:rRNA from 1 species
GCUUGAUUGCAAGACAUACAGGUCGAGCAAGGAUGAAAAUCGGACUUAGUGAUCCGGUGGUUCUGCGUGGAAGGGCCAGCGCUCAACGGAUAAAAGCUACCCUGGGGAUAACAGGCUUAUCUCCCCCAAGAGUCCACAUCGACGGGGAGGUUUGGCACCUCGAUGUCGGCUCAUCACAUCCUGGGGCUGUAGUAGGUCCCAAGGGUUGGGCUGUUCGCCCAUUAAAGUGGUACGCGAGCUGGGUUCAGAACGUCGUG